GCCUUCGUGGUGUAACGGUUAACACACUCGGCGCGUAUUCGAGAGGUCCAAGUUCAAGUCCCGGCAAGAGCG
rnacentral:tRNA from 1 species